CGUGGGCCCCUGACCGGGGUUGCGGACAGUGUCUGGUGGGUAGUUUGACUGGGGCGGUCUCCUCCCAAAGAGUAACGGAGGAGCACGAAGGUUGGCUAAUCCUGGUCGGACAUCAGGAGGUUAGUGCAAUGGCAUAAGCCAGCUUGACUGCGAGCGUGACGGCGCGAGCAGGUGCGAAAGCAGGUCAUAGUGAUCCGGUGGUUCUGAAUGGAAGGGCCAUCGCUCAACGGAUAAAAGGUACUCCGGGGAUAACAGGCUGAUACCGCCCAAGAGUUCAUAUCGACGGCGGUGUUUGGCACCUCGAUGUCGGCUCAUCACAUCCUGGGGCUGAAGUAGGUCCCAAGGGUAUGGCUGUUCGCCAUUUAAAGUGGUACGCGAGCUGGGUUUAGAACGUCGUGAGACAGUUCGGUCCCUAUCUGCCGUGGGCGCUGGAAGAUUGAGGGGGGCUGCUCCUAGUACGAGAGGACCGGAGUGGACGCAUCACUGGUGUUCGGGUUGUCAUGCCAAUGGCACUGCCCGGUAGCUAAAUGCGGAAGAGAUAAGUGCUGAAAGCAUCUAAGCACGAAACUUGCCCCGAGAUGAAUCUUCCCUGAGACUUUGAGUCUCCUGAAGGAACGUUGAAGACGACGACGUUGAUAGGCCGGGUGUGUAAGCGCAGCGAUGCGUUGAGCUAACCGGUACUAAUGAACCGUGAGGCUUAACCUUACAA
rnacentral:rRNA from 1 species